rnacentral:rRNA from 1 species
GACGAACGCUGGCGGCGUGCUUAACACAUGCAAGUCGAACGGAAAGGCCCUGCUUUUGUGGGGUGCUCGAGUGGCGAACGGGUGAGUAACACGUGAGUAACCUGCCCUUGACUUUGGGAUAACUUCAGGAAACUGGGGCUAAUACCGGAUAGGAGCUCCUGCUGCAUGGUGGGGGUUGGAAAGUUUCGGCGGUUGGGGAUGGACUCGCGGCUUAUCAGCUUGUUGGUGGGGUAGUGGCUUACCAAGGCUUUGACGGGUAGCCGGCCUGAGAGGGUGACCGGCCACAUUGGGACUGAGAUACGGCCCAGACUCCUACGGGAGGCAACAGUGGGGAAUAUUGCACAAUGGGCGGAAGCCUGAUGCAGCAACGCCGCGUGCGGGAUGACGGCCUUCGGGUUGUAAACCGCUUUCGCCUGAGACGAAGCGUGAGUGACGGUAAUGGGUAAAGAAGCACCGGCUAACUACGUG